GACGAACGCUGGCGGCGUGCUUAACACAUGCAAGUCGAGCGGAAAGGCCCUUUGGGGUACUCGAGCGGCGAACGGGUGAGUAACACGUGAGUAACCUGCCUCUGGCUUUGGGAUAACCCUCGGAAACGGGGGCUACUACCGAAUAUGACCUUCGGAUGCAUGUCUGGGGGUGGAAAGUUUUUUCGGCUGGGGAUGGGCUCGCGGCCUAUCAGCUUGUUGGUGGGGUGAUGGCCUACCAAGGCGGUGACGGGUAGCCGGCCUGAGAGGGCGACCGGCCACACUGGGACUGAGACACGGCCCAGACUCCUACGGGAGGCAGCAGUGGGGAAUAUUGCACAAUGGGCGCAAGCCUGAUGCAGCGACGCCGCGUGAGGGAUGACGGCCUUCGGGUUGUAAACCUCUUUCGGCAGGGACGAAGCCUUUUGGGGUGACGGUACCUGUAGAAGAAGCGCCGGCCAACUACGUGCCAGCAGCCGCAGUAACAC
rnacentral:rRNA from 1 species